rnacentral:rRNA from 1 species
GACAGAGGGUGCAAGCGUUGUUCGGAAUCAUUGGGCGUAAAGGGCGCGUAGGCGGUUUUGUAAGUCGGAUGUGAAAGCCCAGGGCUUAACCUUGGAAGUGCAUCCGAAACUGCAUGACUGGAGUCUCGGAGAGGGUGGUGGAAUUCCCAGUGUAGAGGUGAAAUUCGUAGAUAUUGGGAGGAACACCGGUGGCGAAGGCGACCACCUGGACGAAGACUGACGCUGAGGCGCGAGAGCGUGGGGAGCAAACAGG